rnacentral:rRNA from 1 species
GACGAACGCUGGCGGCGGGCUUAACACAUGCAAGUCGAACGGAAAGGCCCUGCUUUUGUGGUGUUCUCGAGUGGCGAACGGGUGAGUAACACGUGAGUAACCUGCCCUUGACUUUGGGAUAACUUCUGGAAACUGGGGCUAAUACCGGAUAGGAGCGCCUGCUGCAUGGUGGGGGUUGGAAAGGUUCGGCGGGUGGGGAUGGACUCGCGGCUGAUCAGCUUGUUGGGGGGGUAGUGGCUUACCAAGGCUUUGACGGGUAGCCGGCCUGAGAGGGGGACCGGCGUCAUGGCUCCUGCGGUACGGACCAGUCUCCUACGGUAGGCAGCAGGGGCGAAUAUUGCACAAUGGGGCGACGCGUGAUGCAGCAACGCCGCGUGCGGGAUGACGGCCUUCGGGUUGUAAACCGAGUUCGCCUGUGACGAAGCGUGAGUGACGGUAGUGGGUGAAGAAGCACCGGCUAACUCCGUG